AAAAUUGGUUCACCUACUCCUCAAUAGCUCUUACAGCUAAUAUUCUAACUGCAUGCAACUGUGCUGACUGAAGACCUGUGAUGAAUGCUUUGAUGAAGCUGAACAUGAGAAAUGUUAACAAGGUAUGGAGCCUCUGCCUGUGUGCACUCAAGCCACAAUAAAACUUGGGCAUUAUAAUAGGCCAUCACUGUCUUUCAGCCACAACCAUCAUUUGAGGCAAGAAGACCACACACGCUUGACUCAGUUUGACUUCACCACACUUACCAAUUAACAUCUCCUUGGCUUUUUCUUUCAUUUGAUUCCUGUAAAUGUUUGUUGAGUGCUUUUGUCAGUGUGACUGCACUUUCAUUUUACAAAGUCAGCAGCAACACCUACAAAAUAUCAGUUGAAGACUAUGCAAAAGUUUGUUACAAUUCCUUGAAACCACUUCACGAUAUAAUUACCUGGACACGUUUAUAAAAUUGUUACAAGCACAUCUUGUGUGUGUGUUUCACAUCCAAUUUACAUGCUUGAAACGCACAAAUGGGUGUAUUAAAAUCAAACGCAAUCUUGUGUAAUGCACUGGUAAAUUACACACAAUCAGCUAAUUGUAACAUAAUAAGUGAGCCCCAUAAGAAAACGGUGUGCGCACUAAGACUGAAGGUGUGAAUUGAAUGUUGAAGCUGUUCCAUUCACUUACCAAGAGAACAUCUUGAACUGCAAUGCGAACAGAAAACGAAAAGGUGUCAUCAUCCUCAUCUUCAGCAAAUUGAUUUGGAUUGGAUGUCCACACUUGCCUUGAAGGAGGCAAAUAACAGCAAAAAAGGUUAUUGUUUGAUCAAUGUGACAAGUAUUGAGAAGCCACCUGUUGUUGGGUAUGUGAGUGCAAAAUAGACUAGAGAUAAUAGGCUGGAAAUAAAAAUGAAAAACAAAACCCACCUGCUCUUCUGUGAUUUGCAUGUACAACACUAGGAAAUAAAUAAGUUCAUCUAAAAACUUCUUGACAGUUUUCUUGCAUUUUGGUGUUUCCGUAAGUCCACAGAUAAACU